AGGAUCUUCUUGGCCGAGGCCGCGGGUCCAGUGGCAGAAGAAGAGGAGGCCAUGGAGCGCACGAACUGUCGGGUGACAAAAGCCAUGUUCUAGCAGCAGGAGUUAUUUUCCAGAGUGGCUUGGAGAGACUUACAUGAACUGAUGCUAAGUAAAAUGAGCAGAACCAGGAGAUCAUUAUAUAUUUCAACAACAAUACUAUAUGAGGAUGUAUUCUGAUGGAAGUGGAUUUCUUUGACAAAGAGAAGAUCUAACUCAUUUUCAAUUGAUCAAGGAUGGACAGAAGCAGCUAUACCCAAAGAAAGAACACUGGAAAAUGAAUGUAAACUGUUUGCAUUUUGGUUUUUCUUCCCAGGUUAUUUUUACCUUCUGAAUCCAAUUCUUCCUGUUCAACAAGAGAACUGUUCAGUUCUGCACACAUAUAUUGUAUCUAGGAUAUACUGUGACAUAUUUAACAUGUAUAGGACUGCUUGCCAUCUGGGGGAGGGGGUAGAAGGAGGGAGGCAUAAAAUUGGAACAGAAGUGAGUGCAAGGGACAAUGUUCAAGGCUCUAUCAAUAAAAAGUUAUAAUUAUUAAAAAAAAAAAAAGAAAGCCAUUUAUGGAAAAAGAACCCAAUAAAAAAAAUAAAGGAGUCAUUUUCUUUUUCUGUUUCACCAA